rnacentral:misc_RNA from 1 species
CCCCUUAAUUGCCCGGACCGACACCGGUCACCGGAAUAGUGAAAUAUACCAGGCUAUGCAACGGGGGUGUUACAAGUGACGCCUACACUGCUCUAUUUUUCUGACUCUUCCUCUGCUGCUGCUCUUUUCUUCCUUUCUUUUUUCCCCCUCCAAAAUGAGAUAAGGACAUAUUUAUAUUCUUCUGACAAGUAGCCCUAAAAUGGUGUGUUUGAGGUGAAGUUCACGUGAGAGAAUUUUUUUGCCAGCUCAUUAUGAAGAGUUGCACAAGUUGUGCAAGCUUCUUAUGCAGGUUCCAUACAAAAUUGGUGUUUUCAGGUGCUUCCCGUGAUGUUGUAUAAACUAUGCAGGUUGGUUGUGCAGUUUUUUCAAGUUUUGAAGUCUUAUAUGGAACUGCAUAAGUUGACUGCAUAAGUUAUGCAGUAGCUUAUACAGAUUUCGACUAUUUUGAUUGUCUCCUCAGUGAAGUUGCAUAAGCAGAGUGCG